rnacentral:tRNA from 1 species
GCGCCGGUGGUGUAAGGCGAACACGCUGCUCGGGAAGCAGAAGAUGCGGGUUCGAGUCCCGCCUGGCGCA